CCUACGGGAGGCAGCAGUGGGGAAUAUUGGACAAUGGGCGCAAGCCUGAUCCAGCAAUGCCGCGUGGAUGAAGAAGGUCUUCGGAUUGUAAAGUCCUUUCGGCGGGGACGAUGAUGACGGUACCCGCAGAAGAAGCCCCGGCUAACUUCGUGCCAGCAGCCGCGGUAAUACGAAGGGGGCUAGCGUUGCUCGGAAUGACUGGGCGUAAAGGGCGCGUAGGCGGUUUGGUCAGUUAGACGUGAAAUUCCUGGGCUCAACCUGGGGACUGCGUUUAAGACGGCCAGGCUUGAGUGUGAAAGAGGGUCGUGGAAUUCCCAGUGUAGAGGUGAAAUUCGUAGAUAUUGGGAAGAACACCGGUGGCGAAGGCGGCGACUUGGUUCAUUACUGACGCUGAGGCGCGAAAGCGUGGGGAGCAAACAGGAUUAGAUACCCUGGUAGUCCACGCCGUAAACGAUGUGUGCUGGAUGUUGGGUGACCUAGUCACUCAGUGUCGUAGCUAACGCGAUAAGCACACCGCCUGGGGAGUACGGCCGCAAGGUUGAAACUCAAAUGAAAUUGACGG
rnacentral:rRNA from 1 species